UACGAGGGGGGCGAGCGUUGUUCGGAAUUAUUGGGCAUAAAGGGCGCGUAGGCGGUGCGGUAAGUCACCUGUGAAACCUCUAGGCUUAACCUAGAGCCUGCAGGCGAAACUGCCGUACUGGAGUGUGGUAGAGGCUAGUGGAAUUCCCAGUGUAGCGGUGAAAUGCGUAGAUAUUGGGAAGAACACCGGUGGCGUAGGCGACUAGCUGGGCCAUAACUGACACUGAGGAACGAAAGCCAGGGUAGCGAAUGGG
rnacentral:rRNA from 1 species